rnacentral:rRNA from 1 species
CCAACGGGUGGCAGCAGUGGGGAAUAUUGCGCAAUGGGCGAAAGCCUGACGCAGCGACGCCGCGUGGGUGAUGAAGGCCUUCGGGUUGUAAAGCCCUGUCGGGUGGAACGAAUCUUCGCCUCGCUAAUAUCGAGGUGAAUUGACGGUACCACCGAAGGAAGCCCCGGCUAACUACGUGCCAGCAGCCGCGGUAAUACGUAGGGGGCGAGCGUUGUUCGGAUUUACUGGGCGUAAAGAGCGCGUAGGUGGUUCGACAAGUCGGAGGUGAAAGCCCUCGGCUCAACCGAGGAUCCGCGUCCGAGACUAUCGAACUUGAGUGCAGGAGAGGAGAGCGGAAUUCCGAGUGUAGCGGUGAAAUGCGUAGAUAUUCGGAGGAACACCGGUGGCGAAGGCGGCUCUCUGGACUGCUACUGACACUGAGGCGCGAAAGCUAGGGGAGCAAACG